GACUCUCAGCAACGGAUUACUCGACUCUCGCAUCGAUGAAGAACGUAGCAAAAUGCGAUACUUGGUGUGAAUUGCAGAAUCCCGUGAACCAUCGAGUCUUUGAACGCAAGUUGCGCCCGAAGCCAUUAGGCCGAGGGCACGUCUGCCUGGGCGUCA
rnacentral:rRNA from 1 species